UUCCCAGGGCCUGAGCCCACAUCUGGAAAGCCAGCCAGUGGCUGGUUCCUCCUGCAGGAGGCUUAGGGCUCUGCUUUGCCCUUGCCAGUGACUGCCCAUCAGGAUCUAGUAUGAGAGAUACCCCAGUGUUGAUGCCUGGUUGUUCCAUUAUGCCAGGACUCCAUGGGGUCUCUGGGCUCUGCCAUGUGGGAAUACCUUGCUACCUGUGCCCAGCCUCCAGCACUGCCUUCUUAGCUGAAGCUGCACACCUUUCAGAUUCCUCAGUGUGAUACCCUUCCUAAAACUACUGCCAGCCUAUCCCAACCCCAUCAGUGGGUUCAGUCCCACCAGCCUGCUCCAGUCUACCCCUUCUGCACCAGUCUCCCUGACCAUACAGGGACAAGGCCUCAGUCACAGCACUCAGUUCAGCCUGGUCCAUCCCAUAUCGCCAGAAUUCCAGUAGGACAUAGCGAGAGUGGGAUGCCAUAAAUGACUGAAGUCAAGGUUGUAAUGGUCCAGCAACAUUUGCAGAAUCCUGAAAUGGUGCACAGAAUCCUGAAUUCCUCCUAGAGAAACCAGGAGCAAAGUUCCAUGGGCCAUGUCCUGUGAUUUGGUCUGUCUGAGUCUAAAGCAACUCUCCAUUAUACAAUGUUGUGUUGAAGGGUUCCUGAUGUCGUGUAGGCCAGAGCCUUCAAGCUUGGAGUUUGCCAGAUAAACCUGGCUGACACUCACAUCCCUGCCUUCUUUUGCACGU
rnacentral:lncRNA from 10 species